rnacentral:rRNA from 1 species
GCUACACAUGCAAGUCCGACGGGAGCUUCGGCUCCAGUGGCGGACGGGUGAGUAACGCGUGAGAAUCUACCUUCAGGAUGGGGACAACCGUUGGAAACGACGGCUAAUUCCCAAUGUGCCGAAAGGUGAAAGGUUUCGACCGCCUGAAGAGGAGCUCGCGUCCGAUUAGUUGGUUGGUGAGGUAAAGGCUCACCAAGGCAGCGAUCGGUAGCUGGUCUGAGAGGACGAUCAGCCACACUGGGACUGAGACACGGCCCAGACUCCUACGGGAGGCAGCAGUGGGGAAUCUUCCGCAAUGGGCGAAAGCCUGACGGAGCAACGCCGCGUGUGGGAAGAAAGCUCUUGGGCUGUAAACCACUUUUCUCAGGGAAGAAGCUCUGACGGUACCUGAGGAAAUCAGCCUCGGCUAACUCCGUGCCAGCAGCCGCGGUAAUACGGAGGAGGCAAGCGUUAUCCGGAAUUAUUGGGCGUAAAGGGUCCGCAGGGGGCUCAUCAAGUCUGCUGUUAAAGGUCGGAGCUUAACUCCGAUGUAGCAGUGGAAACUGGUGAGCUAGAGGGCGACAGAGGUAGAGGGAAUUCCCAGUGUAGCGGUGAAAUGCGUAGAGAUUGGGAAGAACACCGGUGGCGAAAGCGCUCUACUGGGUCGCACCUGACCCUCAGGGACGAAAGCUAAGGGAGCGAAAGGGAUUAGAUACCCCUGUAGUCUUAGCUGUAAACGAUGGAUACUAGGGCGUGGUUGGUAUCAACUCCAGCCGUGCCGAAGCUAACGCGUUAAGUAUCCCGC